AACGCACAUUGCGCCCUUUGGCAUUCCAAAGGGCAUGCCUGUUUGAGCGUCAUUUCUCCCUCAAGCCCGCGGGUUUGGUGUUGAGCAAUACGCUACGGUUUGUUUGAAAGACGUACGUGGAGACUAUAUUAGCGACUUAGGUUCUACCAAAACGCUUGUGCAGUCGGCCCACCACAGCUUUUCUAACUUUUGACCUCAAAUCAGGUAGGACUACCCGCUGAACUUAA
rnacentral:misc_RNA from 1 species